CAAACUUUUUAACUACGACGUAUCCCAAAAAAAAAAAAAAUAUUUGAUAUUCCCUCUAAACCAAAGAACCUACCGUAACUUACUUUUUUAUAACGAAACAAACACUGUACAUGUUUGUUUGAAGGAAACACCUGCAAACAAAUAAGGCACAAUCCACGAAUAAACUUUUCCAAAUAUUUACUCCUUCUAUUUAAUAAUAUUCGAUUUUUCCGUUAAAGCCAAUGUACCAUUUCCAAAAAAUCAUAGCGUAAUUUUCGA